rnacentral:rRNA from 1 species
CCCUUAGAUGUCCUGGGCCGCACGCGCGCUACACUGAGUGUCUGAGAUACGAGUCUGCCUGGUCCGGCAAGGUCUAGGUAAUCGCUAAAAGACACAUCAUGCUUGGGAUAGAUUAUUGCAAAUAUUAAUCUUGAACGAGGAAUUCCUAGUAAGCGCAAGUCAACAGCUUGCGUUGAUUACGUCCCUGCCCUUUGUACACACCGCCCGUCGCUACUACCGAUCGGAUGGUUUAGUGAGACCCUCGGACUGGUCCCGUCGAAGCAGGCGACUGCCUCGACGCGCGCGCCGGGAAGAAGGUCGAACUUGACUAUCUAGAGGAAGUAAAAGUCGUAACA